rnacentral:SRP_RNA from 1 species
UUAUGAGGCUGGAUUCAUGGAACGGUGAGCAAUUCUUCUUCUUUGUGGAUGGA